rnacentral:rRNA from 1 species
GACGAACGCUGGCGGCGUGCUUAACACAUGCAAGUCGAACGGAAAGGCCCUGCUUUUGUGGGGUGCUCGAGUGGCGAACGCGUGAGUAACACGUGAGUAACCUGCCCUUGUCUUUGGGAUAACUUCAGGAAACUGGGGCUAAUACCGUAUAGGAUCUCCUGCUCCAUGGUGGGCGUUGGAAAGUUUCGGCGGUUGGGGAUGGACUCGCGGCUUAUCAGCUUGUUGGUGGGGUAGUGAAUUACCAAGGCUUUCACGGGUAGCCGGCCUGAGAGGGUGACCGGCCACAUUGGGACUGAGAUACGGCCCAGACUCGUACUGGAGGCAGCAGUGGGGAAUAUUGCACAAUGGGCGGAAGCCUGAUGCAGCAACGCCGCGUGCGGGAUAACGGCCUUCGGGUUGUAAACCACUUUCGCCUGAGACGAAGCGUGAGUGACGGUAAUGGGUAAAAAAGCAACGGCUAACUACGUG